UACUAGUUUGAAAGAAGUUUUGUUUUAUUUGUUAGUACCCCGUUGUUUUAGUAAUAAUCCUGCGCGAUAUCCUCAAGUUAACUAUUUUUUCCGGCUCAAUCGCCUCUUUUCAGGCACACUUAUAUUAAUUUUUUAGGAUACAUAUUAUGUCCACUACAACUACUGGUUCAGUAAAAUGGUUUAACGAAGCAAAAGGUUUUGGUUUUAUCGAGCAAGAGUCUGGCCCUGAUGUGUUUGCACACUUCAGCGCAAUCUCUGGCGACGGUUUUAAAACCCUUGCUGAAGGCCAACGUGUACAGUUUACUGUUACUCAAGGUCAAAAAGGCCCACAAGCUGAGAACAUUGUUAGCAUUUAACAUGUUUUAAAUAAAUGCGUUUUUUAACGCAUUUAUUACC
rnacentral:sRNA from 1 species